AUGCACAGUUCAGCAGCACGUAUACUAAAAUUGGAACGAUACACAGAGAUUAUUAUGUCCCCUGUGCAAGAAUGACACGCAAAUUCGUGAGGCUUCCAUAUUUUAU
rnacentral:snRNA from 1 species